AGCGAACGCUGGCGGCAGGCUUAACACAUGCAAGUCGAACGCCCGUAGCAAUACGGGAGUGGCAGACGGGUGAGUAACGCGUGGGAACAUGCCCUUUGGUUCGGAAUAACUCAGGGAAACUUGAGCUAAUACCGGAUAAGCCCGAGAGGGGAAAGAUUUAUCGCCGAAGGAUUGGCCCGCGUCCGAUUAGCUAGUUGGUGAGGUAAUGGCUCACCAAGGCGACGAUCGGUAGCUGGUCUGAGAGGAUGAUCAGCCACACUGGGACUGAGACACGGCCCAGACUCCUACGGGAGGCAGCAGUGGGGAAUAUUGGACAAUGGGGGCAACCCUGAUCCAGCCAUGCCGCGUGAGUGAUGAAGGCCCUAGGGUUGUAAAGCUCUUUCGGCGGGGACGAUAAUGACGGUACCCGCAGAAGAAGCCCCGGCUAACUUCGUGCCAGCCGCCGCAGUAA
rnacentral:rRNA from 1 species